UACGAAGGGGGCUAGCGUUGCUCGGAAUCACUGGGCGUAAAGGGUGCGUAGGCGGGUCUUUAAGUCAGGGGUGAAAUCCUGGAGCUCAACUCCAGAACUGCCUUUGAUACUGAGGAUCUUGAGUUCGGGAGAGGUGAGUGGAACUGCGAGUGUAGAGGUGAAAUUCGUAGAUAUUCGCAAGAACACCAGUGGCGGAAGGCGGAGCUCACCUGGCCCGA
rnacentral:rRNA from 1 species